GACGAACGCUGGCGGCGUGCUUAACACAUGCAAGUCGAACGGAAAGGCCCUGCUUGCAGGGUGCUCGAGUGGCGAACGGGUGAGUAACACGUGGGUGAUCUGCCCCUUACUUUGGGAUAAGCCUGGGAAACUGGGUCUAAUACUGGAUAGGACCAUGCUGUAGGUGGUGUGGUGGAAAGAUUAGUUUCGGUAAGGGAUGAGCUCGCGGCCUAUCAGCUUGUUGGUGGGGUAAUGGCCUACCAAGGCGUCGACGGGUAGCCGGCCUGAGAGGGUGGACGGCCCCAUUGGGACUGAGAUGCGGCCCAGACUCCUACGGGAGGCAGCAGUGGGGAAUAUUGCACAAUGGGCGCAAGCCUGAUGCAGCGACGCCGCGUGGGGGGUGACGGCCUUCGGGUUGUAAACUCCUUUCGGCCAUGACGAAGCCCUUGUGGUGACGGUAGUGGUAGAAGAAGCACCGGCUAACUACGUA
rnacentral:rRNA from 1 species